rnacentral:rRNA from 1 species
AGUAACGCGUGAGUAACCUGCCUCUCAGAGGGGGAGUAACGUUCUGAAAAGGACGCUAAUACCGCAUGACAUCCCGGGGCCCGCAUGGUCCUGGGAUCAAAGGAGCAAUCCGCUGAGAGAUGGACUCGCGUCCGAUUAGCUAGUUGGUGAGAUAAAGGCCCACCAAGGCGACGAUCGGUAGCCGGACUGAGAGGUUGAACGGCCACAUUGGGACUGAGACACGGCCCAGACUCCUACGGGAGGCAGCAUG